rnacentral:rRNA from 1 species
UGUGGAAGGGCCAUCGCUCAACGGAUAAAAGGUACUCUGGGGAUAACAGGCUGAUUCCUCCCAAGAGUUCAUAUCGACGGGGGAGUUUGGCACCUCGAUGUCGGCUCAUCACAUCCUGGGGCUGUAGCCGGUCCCAAGGGUAUGGCUGUUCGCCAUUUAAAGCGGUACGUGAGUUGGGUUCAGAACGUCGUGAGACAGUUCGGUCCCUAUCUGCCG